rnacentral:rRNA from 1 species
CCUAUGGGUUGUAAACUGCUUUUGCAGGGGAAUAAACCUCGAUACGUGUAUCGAGUUGAAUGUACCUUGAGAAUAAGGAUCGGCUAACUCCGUUCCCAGCAGCCGCGGUAAUACGGGAGGAUCCAAGCGUUAUCCGGAUUUAUUGGGUUUAAAGGGUGCGUAAGGCGGCUUUUUAAGUCAGGGGUGAAAGACGGUAGCUCAACUUAUCGCAGUGCCCUUGAUACUGAAGAGCUUGAAUGUACUUGAGGUAGGCGGAAUGUGACAAGUAGCGGUGAAAUGCAUAGAUAUGUCACAGAACACCAAUUGCGAAGGCAGCUUACUAAAGUAUGAUUGACGCUGAGGCACGAAAGCGUGGGGAUCAAACAGGAUUAGAUACCCUGGUAGUCCACGCCCUAAACGAUGAACACUCGAUGUUGGCGAUAUACGGUCAGCGUCUAAGCGAAAGCGUUAAGUGUUCCACCCUGGGGAGUACGCCCGCAAGGGUGAAACUCAAAGGAAUUGACGGGGGCCCGGCAACAAGCGGAGGAGCAUGUGGUUUAAUUCGAUGAUACGCGAGGAACCUUACUCCGGGCUUGAAAGUUAUGGAAUCCUGCUGAGAGGUGGGAGUGCCCGAAAGGGAACCAAAACACAGGUGCUGCAUGGCUGUCGUCAGCUCGUGUCGUGAAAUGUUGGGUUAACUCCCGCAACGAGCGCAACCCUUGUCCCUAGUUGCUACGCAUUUAAGAUGCGGACUCUAAACAGACUGCCUAUGGCAAAUAGAGAGGAAGGAGGGGACGACGUCAAGUCAUCAUGGCCCUUACGUCCGUAGGGCUACACACGUGCAUACAAUGGAUCGGAUACAGAGGGUCAGCUAACCCUGGCAACAUGGAUGCCAAUCUCAUAAAGUCGAUUCACAGUUCGGAUCGGGGUCUGCAACUCGACCCCGUGAAGUUGGAUUCGCUAGUAAUCGCGUAUCAGCAAUGACGCGGUGAAUACGUUCCCGGGCCUUGUACACACCGCCCGUCACAGCCAUGGAAGUCUGGAAGUGCCUGAAGUGCGUAACCGCAAGGAGCGUCCUAGGGUAAAGUCGGUAACUGGGGCUAAGUCGUAACAAGGUAGCCGUACCGGAAGGUGUGGCUGGGUU